AACAUACUCCCUUCGUUCGGAAUUACUUGUCACAAAAAUGGAUGUAUCUACAACUAAAAUACAUCUAGAUAUAUUCAUUUCUUGAACGAGUAAUUCCGAACGGAGGGAGUACAUG
rnacentral:pre_miRNA from 1 species